rnacentral:rRNA from 1 species
UACGGGGGGGGCAAGCGUUGUUCGGAAUUACUGGGCGUAAAGGGCUCGUAGGUGGCCAACUAAGUCAGACGUGAAAUCCCUCGGCUUAACCGGGGAACUGCGUCUGAUACUGGAUGGCUUGAGGUUGGGAGAGGGAUGCGGAAUUCCAGGUGUAGCGGUGAAAUGCGUAGAUAUCUGGAGGAAUACCGGUGGCGAAGGCGGCAUCCUGGACCGGCAUUGACGCUGAGGAGCGAAAGCCAGGGGAGCAAACGGG